GCCAGAGGUCAAAAACAUUUCCAUCAUGUUUGGGGCAUUUCUUUUCAUCCUGCUGGGGACAUGGUGCACAGUUUCCGCUUCCCAGCCUGUGCUGACUCAGGAAUCUUCUAUGUCAGCAUCCCCUGGACAGACGGUGAAACUCUCUUGUUCAAUGAGCAGUGGGUAUCCAGUGCAGAACUACUGGCAAUCCUGGUACCAACAGAAACCUGGCAGCCCUCCAAGAUACCUAUUCUAUUAUUAUAGCGGCCCAGGCACAGGGUCUGGGGACUUCAGUCGGUUCUCUUCUUCCAAGGAGAGCUCCCAGAAUACUUGGUAUUUAACCAUCAGCAGUGUCCAGGCAGAAGAUGAGGCUGAUUAUCACUGUGCUGUGUGGUAUGGCAGUGCUGCUGUGUUCCACAGUGAUGCCGUCCUAAGAGGAACUGAGACAAAAACCCAAAAGGAAAAUCAAAUGCACCUUCUGCUGUCACCUUGUUUGCAAUUGCUCUGUUUGCAGAAUCAGAAGGAUGACUAA